rnacentral:rRNA from 1 species
CUGGCGGCAUGCUUAACACAUGCAAGUCGAACGAAGUCUUUCGAGACUUAGUGGCGGACGGGUGCGUAACGCGUAAGAACCUACCCUUGGGAGGGGGAUAACUAUCGGAAACGAUAGCUAAUACCCCAUAUGCUGAGGAGUGAAAGGGAGUGUAAACUCUCGCCUAGGGAUGGGCUUGCGUCUGAUUAGCUAGUUGGUGGGGUAAUAGCCUACCAAGGCCACGAUCAGUAGCUGGUCUGAGAGGAUGAUCAGCCACACUGGGACUGAGACACGGCCCAGACUCCUACGGGAGGCAGCAGUGAGGAAUUUUCCGCAAUGGGCGAAAGCCUGACGGAGCAAUGCCGCGUGGAGGAUUACAGCCCAUGGGUUUUAAACUCCUUUUCUCGGAGAAGAAGCAGUGACGGUAUCCGAGGAAUAAGCAUCGGCAAACUCCGUGCCAGCAGCCGCGGUAAUACGGGGGAUGCAAGCGUUAUCCGGAAUGAUUGGGCGUAAAGCGUCUGUAGGUGGUAGUUGAAGUCUGCUGUUCAAGACCAGGGCUUANNCCUGGACCGGCAGUGGAAACUCAGCUGCUUGAGUGCGGUAGGGGCAGAGGGAGUUCC